rnacentral:lncRNA from 1 species
GGAGGCCCAUGCGGAGGAGGCGUUUCUUGAGGUGGGUGUUCCAAAAGUUCUUGAUCUCGUUGUCCGUCCGCCCCGGUAGCUGAGCCGCUAUGGUCGACCACCUGGUGUGAUGAUUCCAAUUCAUUACGUGACUUGCUACUCUUGAAAUGAAACAUCAGAGCAAGCGAGUGAGAGGAGGAGGGGAAGGGGCUUUCACGUCAUUGAUGGGACUGUCACAGUUCAUGAUGAUGUGUGAUUCAUGGUGACACAAGCUUUAAGUCAUGCACGCUAUUCACAAUAAGAAUGAGAAGAAGAAACAAAAUAUCGCAGACGCCUAGCCCACAGGUACGAUGAUAUUAAUUGCAGUAGGUCCACCUC